UUAGACUUCACAAUUUACAAUACUAUUGU
rnacentral:sRNA from 1 species